UCCGCCACGACAGCACGGCAGCCUUCGGAGCUGUGAGGUCUAGGUUCGAAUCCUGGUGGCGGAG
rnacentral:tRNA from 1 species